UACGGAGGGUGCAAGCGUUAAUCGGAAUUACUGGGCGUAAAGCGUGCGUAGGUGGUUCGUUAAGUCCGUUGUGAAAGCCCCGAGCUCAACUUGGGAAUUGCAGUGGAUACUGGCGAGCUGGAGUGCGGUAGAGGAAGGUGGAAUUCCCGGUGUAGCGGUGAAAAUGCGUAGAGAUCGGGAGGAACACCAGUGGCGAAGGCGGCCUUCUGGACCAGCACUGACACUCAAGCACGAAAGCGUGGGGAGCAAACAGG
rnacentral:rRNA from 1 species